AAUCAACGCUGGCGGCGUGCCUCAGACAUGCAAGUCGAACGAUUAAAGCUCCCUUCGGGGAGUGCAUAGAGUGGCGCACGGGUGAGUAACACGUAAGUAAUCUACCUUUGAGUGGGGAAUAACGUUCGGAAACGGACGCUAAUACCGCAUAAUGCAGCGGCAUCGCAAGAUGACAGUUGUUAAAGGAGCAAUCCGCUUAAAGAGGAGCUUGCGGCAGGUUAGCUGUUGGUAAGGUAACGGCUUACCAAGGCUACGAUCUGUAUCCGGUCUAAGAGGACGGUCGGACACACUGACACUGAAUAACGGGUCAGACUCCUACGGGAGGCAGCAGUCGGGAAUUUUGGGCAAUGGGCGAAAGCCUGACCCAGCAACGCCGCGUGAAGGAUGAAGUAUUUC
rnacentral:rRNA from 1 species